UUAAAUUUCACACCACCUACUCAUCCAUAAAUUUCAGACAGAGAAAGUUAUCUCACAAAAAUGGAAGUGAAAUCCGAGUUCAACGAGCAAAAGAAAUGUCUCAAUCAUGACGGCGGCAACGACGGAGACAGUGGUCAAGGCCAGGCGAAUCCGCCUUCCACCGCCAUGGAUCCACCCGUGGCAGAGGUGGAUCGGGUUAGGGCGCCACCACGGCCGGUCAUAAGCGGUGGCGGUGGCCCUCAGACCAACACAAACCCUAAUUAAUAGUAGUUUUUUUCAUUUGGUAAUUUUAUGUGAUUUCUUCUAGUUUUUUUCUUUGUAAGAUUAUGUUUUAGGGAUCUCUCUCUCUCCUACACUGUGUUCUUUGGUUUUGGAAGUUGAUACUUGUUUUUCUCUGUUUGUUGUUAGUGUUUGUAAAUCAAGAUUCCCAAUGAUAUGUAUGUCACUAGGCUACAUGCAUGUUUAUAUGUAAUUUAAUUAACUAAUUAAUUAAUGUGUUGAAUUA